GGCUCGGUGGUGUAGUUGGUUAUCACGUCAGUCUAACAUGCAGUUAGAUCCACUGAAGGUCCCGAGUUCAAACCUCGGCUGAGUCA